UCUUCAUUUCACACGUGCACUCUCACCGGUCAGAGAGGCGAGAGAGCACGCGAAAUGAGGAGU
rnacentral:pre_miRNA from 1 species